rnacentral:lncRNA from 1 species
GUGGAGUCCUUGCGGGUUUCCCGAUGUUAGUCCAUUUCUUGCAGCUUGGUGAGGAAAAGGCCCCCAUCAGUCCCCUGAAUCAUUGCUGUUUUCAAAGCUGAGCAUGAAGGUUCUUUUGGCAGCAUAGAGUCUUAUUUCAUCCAUAAUUCCAGAGUCUGUUUUAUUUAUGCUUUCUGUAUCUUCUCUCUACAGGAGGGGACUUGGAGUCCUCUUCUCUGGGAUCUAAGACUUCCCAUCUUUCCUAUGUGAGCCCAGAGAACUAACAUAUUCACGAAGACAUUUUCAGAGAAUCAUCGGUGGGCAUGUCUCCCAUUACACAGAAGGAAGAUGCCAACGUCACUUAAACUUGUUGGAACAAUUUGUUCUCCCUCUGACCAGCAUGGAACAUAAAAAGGACCUUUGGUAUUUGGUGUUGGAAAAAUGGCCUCUUGGAUCCAGAGCUCUUUAGGAGUCAUGGGUUCUUGGAUAGAAUUACUGAGAAAAAGAAGUCAGAAUUACCCAGGAGGCUGCGGGCUUUUGCUGAGAUGCCAGAGAGGCUGAGGAUGGGUGAGCAAAGUGCAGUAACGCAGAGCACAUGGCAAAUACAGCGUGUAUGGUGGCAAUAUUCACUAGACUGUUACCAGAGAAGUCUCAGCAGUGUGAGAAACUUCAAAAUCCUGCUGCACUGAGUGGGCUCUUUUUAUUCCAGGUAAGAAUAGUCUGAUUUCUUAAAGAUGUCAUGCUGGCUGGCCGUUUAUGCAUGAUGUGAUUGCUUGGAUUGAGUCCACCAUAAAUAAGCUCCAUGCUAACAACUCCUUGGCUAUUUAUUGAUUGGAUGUAAAUCACAUCCAAUCCCUACCCACUGUUCACUCUGACAGGAGUUUUUAGAGUACCACGGGCAUCCUCUUAGGAAGGGAGGGUGAUGAAAGCUCAGCAAACAUCACCCUGAUUAUAAGCCAUC